UCAAGUGGAAGUUAUUUGGAGAAGGACUAUGUUGCGAAGGAAAAAGCUUGGACCAAGUCCUCUUAGUAGAAUGGUAAUGGCUACCAUAGAAGAAUUUUAAUUUAAUUGAGAAUAAUUUGCUUCUGUCAAAACAGCAAAUCCUGAAAUUUCCCCUUUGAUUUUCAUUUUUAUCUUUCCAUUUUUUUCAAUGGGAUAGGUGGUUUGUACUUUUCAAAGGCAAUUGAUCUCUGCCAUUUGUAUUAGAUGCUUGGGUGGCGAUGGAAAACUUACGGCAAGAAAUCAAAGAAAAUAGCAUUCUAAUAUAUAUGCUUAAUCAUCAAAUUAAGCAGAUGAUUAAUUAAUUUUAGGUUGACGAUCCCUUUAGCAAAUCUGAAAAUGCAUGCAGCCCUUUACAUGCAUGCCUGU
rnacentral:lncRNA from 1 species